rnacentral:rRNA from 2 species
UCGAGGGGUAGAAUGUCUUCGGAUGUUUGAGACCGGCGCACGGGUGCGUAACGCGUAUGCAACCUACCUCUUACUGGGGAAUAGCCCGAAGAAAUUCGGAUUAAUGCCCCAUAUGCUCGUACGGCCUCAUGGUCGAGCGAGGAAAGCUCCGGCGGUAAGAGAUGGGCAUGCGUCCUAUUAGCUUGUUGGUGAGGUAAUGGCUCACCAAGGCUACGAUAGGUAGGGGGCCUGAGAGGGUGACCCCCCACACUGGUACUGAGACACGGACCAGACUCC